rfam:Oryza sativa Japonica Group DNA, chromosome 6, cultivar: Nipponbare, complete sequence.
UACUCCCUCGGUCUCAAAAUAAGCUAAUCUCGUAUUAGGAUGUGACACAUCCUUGUACGAGGUUAAUUUAUUUUGGGACGGAGGGAGUAC